CUAUAAAACGAAGGCUACGUACGUAGAAGCUCCAGCGGAAGGUUUUCGGACGCGGGUUCGACUCCCGCCGCCUCCACCA
rnacentral:tmRNA from 1 species